GUAGGUGGCAAGCGUUGUCCGGAAUUAUUGGGCGUAAAGCGCGCGCAGGCGGUCCUUUAAGUCUGAUGUGAAAGCCCACGGCUCAACCGUGGAGGGUCAUUGGAAACUGGGGGACUUGAGUGCAGAAGAGGAGAGUGGAAUUCCACGUGUAGCGGUGAAAUGCGUAGAGAUGUGGAGGAACACCAGUGGCGAAGGCGACUCUCUGGUCUGUAAUUGACGCUGAGGCGCGAAAGCGUGGGGGGAGCGAACAGGAUUAGAUACCCUGGUAGUCUACGCCGUAGACGAUGAGUGCUAAGUGUUAGAGGGUUUCCGCCUUUAGUGCUGCAGCUAACGCAUUAAGCACUCCGCCUGGGGAGUACGGUCGCAAGACUG
rnacentral:rRNA from 1 species